CAAGGUUUCCGUAGGUGAACCUGCGGAAGGAUCAUUACCGAAGAAAACAGGGUCUUGAGACUGCGUCCUUGUGGCGUGUGCUCGAUCCUUUACUCUUUAUCCACACACACCUUUGUGCACUUAUGGGGGGACGGUUAAACGUCUCCCCUUUUAAUUUACACAAACACCGAGUUUAUAUAUGCAUGUUUUGUUGAUACUACUCUACGGAGUAAAUAUGUAACAACUUUCAACAACGGAUCUCUUGGCUUUCGCAUCGAUGAAGAACGCAGCGAAUGUGCGAAACGUAAUGUGAAUUGCAGAAUUCAGUGAAUCAUCGAAUCUUUGAACGCAUCUUGCGCUCCUUGGUAUUCCGAGGAGCAUGCCUGUUUGAGUGUCGUGUAAUACCUCAAUUUCAACUCUUUUGUUUUGAAAUUGGAUGUUGGGUGUUGUUGUGUGUCACAGCUCAUCCUAAAUGCAUUAGCGAUCUGUCUUUUGAUCACGCAAUGUGAUAAGAAAACAAAGCAUUGUUAAGAUCGGGUCGGGGUUGCUUCCAACCGUCGAAAGACAAAUAUGUGUCAAUUGACCUCAGAUCAGGCAGGACUACCCGCUGAACUUAAGCA
rnacentral:rRNA from 1 species